rnacentral:rRNA from 1 species
AUUGAACGCUGGCGGCAGGCCUAACACAUGCAAGUCGAGCGAGCGGCGGACGGGUGAGUAAUGUCUGGGUAACUGCCUGAUGGAGGUGGGUAACGACUGGAAACGGUAGCUAAUACCCCAUACCAUCGGAUGUGCCCAGCGGGGGCUGGCUAGUAGGUGGGGGAACGGCUAACCUAGGCGACGAUCCCUAGCUGGUCUGAGAGGAUGACCAGCCACACUGGAACUGAGACAUGGUCCAGACUCCUACGGGAGGCAGCAGUGGGGAAUGUGGGACAAUGGGGGCAAGCCUGAUGCAGCCAUGCCGCGUGUGGGAAGAAGGCCGUCGGGUUGUAAAGCACUUUCAGCGGGGAGGCGUUACCCGCAGAAGAAGCACCGGCUAACUCCGUGCCAGCAGCCGCGGUAAUAC